GUCCACGCCGUAAACGUUGGGCACUAGGUGUGGGUCUCAACCAACGGGAUCCGUGCCGCAGCUAACGCAUUAAGUGCCCCGCCUGGGGAGUACGGCCGCAAGGCUAAAACUCAAAGGAAUUGACGGGGGCCCGCACAAGCGGCGGAGCAUGUUGCUUAAUUCGAGGCAACGCGAAGAACCUUACCUGGGUUUGACAUGUAGGGAAAAGCCGUAGAGAUACGGUGUCCUUUUGGGCCCUACACAGGUGGUGCAUGGCUGUCGU
rnacentral:rRNA from 1 species